UUUUUCAUAUUUCAAAUACUGAGGAAAAGAAACCAACAGGGAUUGCCUCAGUAACGGCGAGUGAAGCGGCAAAAGCUCAAAUUUGAAAUCCCCCCGGGGAGUUGUAAUUUGAAGAUUGCGUCUUGGAGGCGACCGUGUCUAUGUUCCUUGGAACAGGACGUCACAGAGGGUGAGAAUCCCGUGCGGCACGGCCCCCGGCUCCUUAUAAGGCGCUCUCGACGAGUCGAGUUGUUUGGGAAUGCAGCUCAAAGUGGGUGGUAAAUUCCAUCUAAAGCUAAAUACAGGCGAGAGACCGAUAGCGAACAAGUACAGUGAUGGAAAGAUGAAAAGCACUUUGAAAAGAGAGUGAAACAGCACGUGAAAUUGUUGAAAGGGAAGGGCAUGCCGUCAGAUUGUCAGUGUGGGUAAGAAGCGGGGUACAAAGACUGUGGAACGUGGCCCUCGGGUGUUAUAGCCGCAGUUCAUGCCCCGUCUCUUUCCGAGGCCUGCUUUGAGGACACCGACGUAAUGACGGUACGCCGCCCGUCUUAAAAACACGGAACAAA
rnacentral:rRNA from 1 species